UUUUUUUAAGGUCCCGUUUGGUCCUCUUGCUAAAUUUAGCCAACUAAAAUUAUUUUAGUUACUCUUGGAUGACUAAUAGAUCUAAAAUAUUUAAGCUCUUUUUUAGUCAGUGUUUUUAGAAUUUUAGCUGGUAAAGUGAUUAAAAUUUAGUUGGCUAAAAUUUAGCAAAGGGAACUAAAUAGACGCUUAAUGUAACUCAACUUUACUAGGGAAAAAAAGAUCAAAACUACUGUGAACUUUCUGCAAAUCAAGUAGCAAGAAUCACCAUGACUCAACAAUAAUACACAUCGCAGAUUCACGUACAGUUAAAGAUGAAUGAAGAAGCAACCUAAGAAGCAAAAAGUCUUGCUCUAUGAAUGGUAAAAACGAGCAGGAGAUCUGCCUCUUUUAAAUUGAGAACAUUAUUGAGCAAAAUAACAGCUGUCAACAGGAAUAUUUUGCUCAAAUUUGCUUCAAAUGCAGCAUACAAAUAAGAAAAAGAGAAACUUCCCUGAUGUAUUAAUGGAAGAAACGAGCGAGAAAUAUGCCCCUUCUAAUGUUGAGCAAAAAAAACAGCUGUAGGUAGGAUCAUUUUACUCAAAUUUCCUUCAAAUGCAGCACAGCAAAAAAAAACUUGUUGCAAAAAAAAAAAAGAGCCUGUCAGACAACCCAUGGGCCACCCCAGCUAGGCAGGACCCAACCAGGAACGAUCCUCUACAGCACCAGACCCAGCAUCAAGCUUAAUCCUGGCCGUUAAUCACGCUCUGGCCCACAGGUCAUGACUCAUCAACCAGGCUUAAGUGCUUGCCUCCUUAUUAGUCAAGGAUGCAGCGGUACGAUCCUAUAGAACAGAUCCUGUUCAAGUAAGGUCGUGCUGCAAGGCUCCAGAGCUGAGGUUUUAAGCUGGCUCUCACUCGCCUGAGCAAGCGAGGUGGUGCUAAUCGGUGGGACUGGGCGACUGGCCAGCAAUCCCACUCCCACCCAGCAUGUUGCGUACUGGGCCGCUCCAUUCUGGUAUAUGCUCCCCUAUGUGUGGGCUUCAGGUCGAGCCGGCCCAUCGAGGCUGCAUUAGCUUUACCUCUGUUGAUGAUGCUGAUUCCUCACCUAAGCUCAGCUGAUUCCUAGUAGGUGAUUAUAGUUGGCCCUCCACAGAGCUAAGCAUAAAAAUGUUACUACUAACCAUCACAAAUCGGUGUAAACACAACAGUAUGAAGUACGUCAUAAUGAGCUAAGCAGCAAUGGGCGAUGUUGUGCGAGUGCGUCGUCGUCUCUCAUCUAAAAUCGAUUGCCUUGUACUACACCGUCGACUGGCCUGGAGAGAUCGGCGUCCAGCAGGAGCAUAGCCAAGGCUGGCUCCAUUUCUGACGACCAUCGGCACCAUGGGCUCGGCAAGCUCCGAGCAGGAGCUGCCUAGCUAUUAGCAUCUCGACAACCGCGCGCGGGCGUGCCGGGCUUCUCGUCAGGCUUUUCUUGGACGCAGAGGAGGCCGACCACAAUUGAGUUCUUAAAGGCCUUGUUUAGUUGGUGAAAAUCUUUUAUUGUAAUAAUUUUAUUUGUAUUUGAUAAUUAUUAUCUAAUUAUAGACUAACUAUGUUUAAAAGAUUCGUCUUAUAAAUUACACAAACGGUAGAAUUAGUUAUUUUUUAUCUAUAUUUAAUGCUCUAUAUAUGUGUCCAA
rnacentral:lncRNA from 1 species